CGCACUUUUGUUUGUUGCCCACACACACACACACACACACACACACACAGCGCGAAGUGUCACCAGGCCUACAGUAGUUUUCUUUUACCAGCCACACAAGCUUCAUGGAUUUUAACGUCACGUUUUACACUUUGGUUCCAUUCAUGACAGAACAGUAGUUACUCAUUACACAAGGUCAAACAGUCAUGGAUAAUUUAGUGUCUCCAAUUCACCUUGCAUGUCUGUGGGGGGAAACCGGAGCAGCCGGAGUAGACCCACGCAGACACUGGGAGAACAUACAAACUCCACACAGAAAGGACCGCCCCGGACCGCCCACCUGGGGAUCGAACCCAGGACCUCCUUGCUGUGAGGCAACAGUGCUAACCACUUAGCCACCGUGCCGCCCGUUAUUGUUUAUUGUACAUUUGACUUGAAGUUAAAGAGGCUUAAAGGCUAACAGGGACCUUUUAUUAAACAAAUAAAUAAAAUAAAUGAAUAAU